rnacentral:RNase_P_RNA from 1 species
GAAACAAACUGUCUUGUCGCUCUUCCGAAAGGGAGGGAGGAAAGUCCGGGCAGCAUAGGGCACCACACUUCCUAACGGGAAGGGUCAGUUCCGGUAACAGAGCUGAUACAGAAAGUGCCGCAGAGAACUAUACCGCCAUAGGGUAACUUGUGGUAAGGGUGAAAACGUGAGGUAAGAGCUCACGGCCGUUGCAGUGAUGUAACGUGCGGGUAAACCUUGUGGGCUGAAAAGCCAAAUAGGUUGGGGUCAAGGGCGGCUCGUCUUUGCAUUUCGUUCGCGAAGUGCGCCUCAAUGGGUAGGCUGAUUCAGGUUGCGUGUGAACGUAAUCGCAGAUAAAUGACAAGAGUCCGUGCAAACGGAACACAGAACCCGGCUUAUAGGUUUGUUUCAUUU